GCUUCGACUCGCGCUCUGUCUAAGCGGCCCAGUGACCCUACGCGCAGAAAGAAACCAUAAUUCCAGUACGUUGUACGUCUUUGUGUUCUACCUCUCUUAGAUCGGCCGAAGACGAUUCAGUCUCUGUAACAGAACCGUUGUGAUUUAAUGUCUUCAAAGCUUCCUUUCAAUCAUAGAGGCGGUGCCAGGAUCUGUAUAAAUAGAGAGUUUUUCUCCCCGAUCUGAAGUCCGGGAUGCGUUUGUCCGUCGUGGAGGCUAGGUUUUUGAGGUGGCCAGGAACGUCAAGCAUGGUGGGGAGCUGGUGUUGGAUCGACAUGCUCAGCUGAUUUCGUAUUUGAAUACAUGGAUCAUGAUCUUACUGGCCUUGCUUCAACCCCUGGGAUUAAGUUCUCUCAGGCACAGAUUAAAUGCUAUAUGAAGCAGUUGCUGCUUAGCUUAGAACAUUGCCAUAGCUGACAUCAGUGGAUCAAAUUUUCUGCUAGAUCGUAACAAUAAUCUCAAGAUUUCUGAUUUUAGUCUUUCUACUUUUUACCAACGGAAACAGCCUCUGACUAGCCGUGUUGUGACCCUGUGGUACCGCCCGCCUGAGCUUCUGCUCGGCUCCACAGACUACGGAGUCACUACGGCUGAUCUGUGGAGCACAUGAUGCAUACUUGCUGAGCUCUUUACUGGAAAGCCUCUUCUUCCCGGAAGAACAUAGGUAGAACAAAUGCAUAAGAUCGUUAGACUCUCCGGAUAACCUUCUGAGGAGUAUUGGAGAAGAUCAAGAUUGCAGCAAGCAACCAUCUCUAAACAUAGACAUCAGUACAAGCGACGUUUAGCUGAUACGUAUAAGGAUCUUAUCCCUUCUUAAGCUUUGGCUCUCCUUGAUGUCCUAGCUGUAGAGCCAGAAGCACGUGGAACCACAUCCUCUGCCCUUCAAAGCGAGUUCUUUACGACAAAACCUUUUCCAAGCGACCCAUCAAGCUUACCGAGAUAUCAGCCAAGGAAAGAAUUUGAUAUCAGGCUUCUUAAAGAGAAAGCAAGACGAAGGAAAGGUGCGAGCAGUAAACAGAAUGAACAAAAGCGGUUUUCAAAAGAAUCAAGAGCUCUACCUGCUCCUGGUGCCAAUGCAGAGCUACUGGCAUCAAUAUAGAAACAACUAGGGGAGACUAACCAGACAAGCAUGAGCGAGACGUUUAAUCCAGAGGGAGAUUCUGGCUCUGGCUUCCGGAUCGAAACCACACAACAAUCCCUACCCAGUUUACACAAAUGGCGACAAUCAUCCUAACCGGUCAAGCCAUCUGAGAACACGACGGUCCUAUGUCAGACAUUAGAUAGCAUGACUGUAAAGAUAUUUAGAGACAAUAUAAUAAAGCAUUAACAUAUUAUUAUCAUCGGUACAAGAACUAAGAACUAGGCUCUAGCUACCAAUGAUGCUCAUGAUGCUCAUAGAUGCUACUCUCUAUGUUUUAUGUGAAAUGAUACUGACGGUAUGAGUGACAAUUUAUAUCUCCUA